GACGAACGCUGGCGGCGUGCUUAACACAUGCAAGUCGAACGGAAAGGCCCUGCUUUUGUGGGGUGCUCGAGUGGCGAACGGGUGAGUAACACGUGAGUAACCUGCCCUUGACUUUGUGAUAACUUCAGGAAACUGGGGCUAAUACCCGAUAGGAGCUCCUGCUGCAUGGUGGUGGUUGGAAAGUUUCGGCGGUUGGGGAUGUAUUCGCGGCUUAUCAGCUUGUUGGUGUGGUAGUUGCUUACCAAGGCUUUGACGGGUAGCAUGCAUGAGAGGGUGACCGGCCACAAUGGGACUGAGAUACGGACCAGACGCCUACGUGCGGCAGCAGUGGGGAAUAUUGCACAAUGGGCGGACGCCAGAUGUAGCAACGCUGCGUGCGGGAUGACGGGCUUCGGGUUGAAAACAGAUUUGGACGGUGACGAAGAGUGAGUGACGGUAAUGGGUAAAGAAGCACCGGCUAACUACGUG
rnacentral:rRNA from 1 species